rnacentral:rRNA from 1 species
AUCCUGGCUCAGAGCGAACGCUGGCGGCAGGCUUAACACAUGCAAGUCCAGCGGGCGUAGCAAUACGUCAGCGGCAGACGGGUGAGUAACGCGUGGGAACGUACCUUUUGGUUCGGAACAACACAGGGAAACUUGUGCUAAUACCGGAUAAGCCCUUACGGGGAAAGAUUUAUCGCCGAAAGAUCGGCCCGCGUCUGAUUAGCUAGUUGGUGAGGUAAUGGCUCACCAAGGCGACGAUCAGUAGCUGGUCUGAGAGGAUGAUCAGCCACAUUGGGACUGAGACACGGCCCAAACUCCUACGGGAGGCAGCAGUGGGGAAUAUUGGACAAUGGGGGCAACCCUGAUCCAGCCAUGCCGCGUGAGUGAUGAAGGCCCUAGGGUUGUAAAGCUCUUUUGUGCGGGAAGAUAAUGACGGUACCGCAAGAA